rnacentral:lncRNA from 1 species
AGGGACGAGGAGCGGCUGGAGAAGGGUGUUUCUUUGACCCGUUUACAGGCUCGAAACGCCGGUCUCAGUGGCUAUUGAGUUACCCACCAAGUUACCCCGGUUAGAGCUGUUUGGGGUGGCUCACGUUAUUGCGGCAAACUUUGGAGAUGACGGCUGAGUCCUCCGGGCGAACAUGUCAAGCCGAUUGUAAAUGCUGUUAUUUCCACAUCCUUCAGGGACACCAGUCCCUACGAAGACCUUGGGCGAUUUUGAAGUGCGGGCACCUCGAUUCCCCGAAUCUGUAGUGUGGCUGGUAUCGGUGUUCCCCUGGUUUAACUAGCCUGUUUGAUGGGGAAAUUGAGGCAGAGAAGCCAAGACAUGUGCUAAAGGUCAUGCAGGCUAUGAAUGGAGCUGGAAUGUGAACGCAGGCCAUAUGACCCCAGAGCCCAUGUUCUUGAACCCUUAGAAAGACAGCAGCAACACACCUGGUGCAGCAGCUGCUUAGUUGGAGUGGCUGACAAGGUUGGCAGAGGAUCCCGUUCCUCCCGUGGAGUGGCUGCCAUGAUACUGCCUGCACUGAAGCUGCUCCUAUUUCUGAAAUAUGUAUUGUUAUUUUUUUCCCUGCAUGUUGAACAUUAUACUCUUCUGUUCUUUCGCA